rnacentral:snRNA from 1 species
GGAAGUGAGGGUGAGCUGGCUGUGACAUCUGUCACCCCAUUGAUUGCCAGGGUUGAUUCAGGUGAUCUGGCUCGCUAGGCAGGUGUCCCUUUCCUCCCUCACUGCUUCAUGUGUGUCCCUCCUAAAGGGACACUGGGUUGCACUGGGUUGAAGAGGACACUACCCCCCACUCCCGGAAUAGAGGAGGACUGUUUCCUCAGUCAAGGGUAUUCACAUAGCUGCACUUUCCUGCUAGAACCUGCAAACAAGCUCUUAAGGAUCCUAGGCUACAUAAGUGAGUUCAAGGGCAGCCUGGAUCAUGUAGCCAGACCCU